rnacentral:rRNA from 1 species
CCCUUAGAUGUUCUGGGCCGCACGCGUGCUACACUGAGUGGAUCAGCGGGUCAGGUUGCGCGAAAGUGUUUCCUAAUCUUGAAAUCCGCUCGUGAUGGGGAUUGACGGUUGCAAUUUUCCGUCAUGAACGAGGAAUACCUUGUAAGCGCGGGUCAUCAUCCCGCGCUGAAUACGUCCCUGCCCUUUGUACACACCGCCCGUCGCUCCUACCGAUUGAGUGGUCCGGUGAGGCUUUGGGAUCUGAGCGGAAAGAGCGUUUCGCUGUUUCUGCUCGGAAAACUCAGUCGAACCUUAUCAUUUAGAGGAAGGAGACGUCGUAACA